UAGGGAAUCUUCCGCAAUGGACGAAAGUCUGACGGAGCAACGCCGCGUGAGUGAAGAAGGAUUUCGGUUCGUAAAACUCUGUUGUUAGGGAAGAAAAAAUGUAUAGUAACUAUAUACAAAAGAGACGGUACCUAACCAGAAAGCCACGGCUAACUACGUGCCAGCAGCCGCGGUAAUACGUAGGUGGCAAGCGUUGUCCGGAAUUAUUGGGCGUAAAGCGCGCGCAGGUGGUUUAGAAAGUCUGAUGUGAAAGCCCACGGCUCAACCGUGGAGGGUCAUUGGAAACUAAUAAACUUGAGUGCAGGAGAGAAAAAUGGAAUUCCUAGUGUAGCGGUUAAAUGCGUAGAGAUUAGGAGGAACACCGGUGGCGAAAGCGGCUUUUUGGCCUGCAACUGACACUGAGGCGCGAAAGCGUGGGGAGCAAACAGG
rnacentral:rRNA from 1 species